rnacentral:rRNA from 1 species
ACGCUCGACAGUGUCAGCCGCCGCGGUCAUACGUAGGGUGCAAGCGUUAAUCGGAAUUACUGGGCGUAAAGCGUGCGCAGGCGGUUUUGUAAGUCUGUCGUGAAAGCCCCGGGCUCAACCUGGGAAUUGCGAUGGAGACUGCAAGGCUUGAAUCUGGCAGAGGGGGGUAGAAUUCCACGUGUAGCAGUGAAAUGCGUAGAGAUGUGGAGGAACACCGAUGGCGAAGGCAGCCCCCUGGGUCAAGAUUGACGCUCAUGCACGAAAGCGUGGGGAGCAAACAGGAUUAGAUACCCUGGUAGUCCACGCCCUAAACGAUGUCUACUAGUUGUCGGGUUUUAAUUAACUUGGUAACGCAGCUAACGCGUGAAGUAGACCGCCUGGGGAGUACGGUCGCAAGAUUAAAACUCAAAUGAAUUGACGGG